UCUCAAGCCAUGUCGUCGCCCUUGCCGCCGUCCAGCCUCUUCAGCUAAACAAGUACAAAUAUUAAUAGACCUCAAAACAACACGCAGAAAUUGGGGGUCUACGAGUGCGUCUUACAGUAAGAUCGCAGUUUGCAGCAACAAGACUUGAGGAUGAGGUGGUAGGCCCCUGAAUUUGCGCUCAAUGUUUGAUUUACCUUGUCCCUUUUAGCUCAUAUUCCUUGCGACAAAAGACUACAAACUAAUAAUGCUGCUGCACGAACUCGUUAUUUUUACGUGAUUUAUUUUGUUAAGGAUAGAUCUAGUUCUUGCCUUUGUCUAACAAUGGAAACUUUUAAAAUAUUUCAUUAUAAAAACCCAGAUUGCUGCUCGGUUCCGCUAAUAAUGCUGUGUCACGAAACGGCUGAUGGUUUCGCUGACAAGAUUUGUUUGACUAUGCCGAUAACUAGCUAGAAAAGUCGGUAGAAAUCUAGCUAUAAUCUAGAUUUAUUCAUGCACGAAAACGUAUAUAUAGCUAUUAUACGUUUUCAUGCAUGAAUAUAGAUAUAAAAAAUACCAAAUAAGAAAAUAAAGAACUCCUUAUCAU